rnacentral:rRNA from 1 species
GGACGGGUGAGGAAUACAUCGGAAUCUGCCCAGUCGUGGGGGAUAACAUAGGGAAACUUAUGCUAAUACCGCAUACGACCUACGGGUGAAAGCGGGGGAUCGCAAGACCUCGCGCGAUUGGAUGAGCCGAUGUCCGAUUAGCUAGUUGGCGGGGUAAUGGCCCACCAAGGCGACGAUCGGUAGCUGGUCUGAGAGGAUGAUCAGCCACACUGGAACUGAGACACGGUCCAGACUCCUACGGGAGGCAGCAGUGGGGAAUAUUGGACAAUGGGCGCAAGCCUGAUCCAGCCAUGCCGCGUGGGUGAAGAAGGCCUUCGGGUUGUAAAGCCCUUUUGUCCGGAAAGAAAAGCACUGGAUUAAUACUUCGGUGUUCUGACGGUACCGGAAGAAUAAGCACCGGCUAACUUCGUGCCAGCAGCCGCGGUAAUACGAAGGGUGCAAGCGUUACUCGGAAUUACUGGGCGUAAAGCGUGCGUAGGUGGUUCGUUAAGUCUGAUGUGAAAGCCCUGGGCUCAACCUGGGAACUGCAUUGGAUACUGGCGGGCUAGAGUGCGGUAGAGGAUGGCGGAAUUCCCGGUGUAGCAGUGAAAUGCGUAGAGAUCGGGAGGAACAUCUGUGGCGAAGGCGGCCAUCUGGACCAGCACUGACACUGAGGCACGAAAGCGUGGGGAGCAAACAGGAUUAGAUACCCUGGUAGUCCACGCCCUAAACGAUGCGAACUGGAUGUUGGGUGCAACUAGGCACUCAGUAUCGAAGCUAACGCGUUAAGUUCGCCGCCUGGGGAGUACGGUCGCAAGACUGAAACUCAAAGGAAUUGACGGGGGCCCGCACAAGCG